rnacentral:rRNA from 2 species
UCCUACGGGAGGCUGCAGUGGGGAAUCUUGGACAAUGGGCGCAAGCCUGAUCCAGCCAUGCCGCGUGAGUGAUGAAGGCCUUAGGGUUGUAAAGCUCUUUUACCAGGGAAGAUAAUGACGGUACCUGGAGAAUAAGCCCCGGCUAACUUCGUGCCAGCAGCCGCGGUAAUACGAAGGGGGCUAGCGUUGCUCGGAAUCACUGGGCGUAAAGCGCACGUAGGUGGGUCGUUAAGUCGGGGGUGAAAUCCUGGAGCUCAACUCCAGAACUGCCUUCGAUACUGGCGAUCUUGGAGUCCGGGAGAGGUGAGUGGAACUGCGAGUGUAGAGGUGAAAUUCGUAGAUAUUCGCAAGAACACCAGUGGCGAAGGCGGCUCACUGGCCCGGUACUGACACUGAGGUGCGAAAGCGUGGGGAGCAAACAGGAUUAGAUACCCUAGUAGUCCA